rnacentral:rRNA from 1 species
AUUGAACGCUGGCGGCAGGCCUAACACCUGCAAGUCGAACGAGUGGCGGACGGGUGCGUAAUGUAUGGGAAACUGCCUGAUGGAGGGGGAUAACUACUGGAAACGGUAGCUAAUACCGCAUACCAUCAGAUGUGCCCAGAUGGGAUUAGCUAGUUGGUGGGGUAACGGCUCACCAAGGUGACGAUCCCUAGCUGGUCUGCGAGGAUGACCAGCCACACUGGAACUGAGACACGGUCCAUGUCCCUACGGGAGGCAGCAGGGGGGAAUAUUGCACAAGGGGCGCAAGCCUGAUGCAGCCAUGCCGCGUGUAUGAAGAAGGCCUUCGGGUUGUAAAGUACUUUCAGCGGGGAGGCGUUACCCGCAGAAGAAGCAACGGCUAACGCCGUGCCAGCAGCCGCGGUAAUUC